AUUGAACGCUGGCGGCAGGCCUAACACAUGCAAGUCGAGCGAGCGGCGGACGGGUGAGUAAUGUCUGGGAAACUGCCUGAUGGAGGGGGAUAACUACUGGAAACGGUAGCUAAUACCGCAUCCACUCAGAUGUGCCCAGAUGGGAUUAGCUAGUAGGUGGGGUAAUGUCUCAACUAGGCGACGAUCCCUAGCUGGUCUGAGAGGAUGACCAGCCACACGGGAACGGAGCUACGGUCCAGACUCCUACGGUAGGCAGCAGUGGGGAAUAUGGCACAAUGGGCGCAAGCCGGAUGCAGCCAUGCCGCGUGUGUGAAGAAGGCCUUCGGGUUGUAAAGCACUUUCAGCGGGGAGGCGUUACCCGCAGAAGAAGCACCUGCUAACUCCGUGCCAGCAGCCGCGGUAAUAC
rnacentral:rRNA from 1 species